GGGUUGAUAGAGUUUGGACUGAAAGCAGGAAGGGAAGUAGGAUAAGCAAGCCACAGCCGCAGCCAUCCAAGAAGGCUACUCUCAGAAUAUUUAGGCUUGAAAACUAUGCUGGCUAUUGUGUGCAAGACAUAUGAAGGUGUUAAGGCUCUUGAAAAGCAUGACAAUGAGGGCAUGAUUGACACAAAUGCUGGUCUGUAUGGACUUGGGCCACCUAUUGGAAGGCUCUUGAAUGGAAGGUUUCUUGUGCUUUGUCUUGAAAAAUUGAGAAUUUUUCCUU